rnacentral:rRNA from 1 species
AGAGUUUGAUCCUGGCUCAGGAUGAACGCUAGCGACAGGCCUAACACAUGCAAGUCGAGGGGCAGCGCGGGUAGCAAUACCUGGCGGCGACCGGCGCACGGGUGCGUAACAGGUGUGCAAUCUGUCCAUAGUCGGGGGAUAGCCCGGCGAAAAGCCGAAUUAAUACUCCAUGUGAGUGAGAGCCGCAUGACUUUCACUUGAAACGUAAGGACUAUGGGUGAGCACGCUUCUGAUUAGGUAGUUGGUGAGGUAACGGCUCACCAAGCCGACGAUCAGUAGGGGUUCUGAGAGGAAGGUCCCCACAUUGGAACUGAGACACGGUCCAAACUCCUACGGGAGGCAGCAGUGAGGAAUAUUGGUCAAUGGACGUAAGUCUGAACCAGCCAAGUCGCGUGAAGGAAGACGGUUCUAUGGAUUGUAAACUUCUUUUGUUCGAGGGUAAAGUGCGGGACGUGUCCCGUAUUGCAAGUAUCGGACGAAUAAGCAUCGGCUAACUCCGUGCC